rnacentral:rRNA from 1 species
CCUACGGGGGGCUGCAGUGGGGAAUAUUGCGCAAUGGGCGAAAGCCUGACGCAGCGACGCCGCGUGAGGGAUGAAGGUCUUCGGAUCGUAAACCUCUGUCAGCAGGGAAGAACGGUCACGGUGCUAAUCAGCAGUGAAUUGACGGUACCUGCAAAGGAAGCACCGGCUAACUCCGGGCCAGCAGCCGCGGUAAUACGGAGGGGGCGAGCGUUAAUCGGAAUUACUGGGCGUAAAGCGCUCGGAGGCGGUAUGUCAAGUCACGGGUGAAAUCCCCGCGCUCACCGUGGGAACUGCCUUUGAAACUGGCAAACUGGAGUGUGUGAGAGGAUAGUGGAAUUCCAGGUGUAGUCGU